GUGCUUGCUUUGACAGAACAUAUAGUAAAAUUGGAAGGAUACAGAGAAGAUUAGCAUGGCCUCUGUGCAGGGAUAGCAUGCAAAUGUAUAGAAAGCAUUGCUGUUUGU